rnacentral:tRNA from 1 species
GCCUGGCUAGCUCAGUCGGUAGAGCAUGAGACUCUUAAUCUCAGGGUCGUGGGUUCGAGCCCCCUGUUGGGCG